rnacentral:rRNA from 1 species
GAUGCACGCUGGCGGCGUGCCUAAUACAUGCAAGUCGAGCGAAGCGGGGACGGGUGAGUAACACGUGGAUAACCUCCUAUAAGACUGGGAUAAAUUCGGGAAACCGGAGCUAAACCGGAUAAUUAUAGAUGGAUCCGCGCUGCAUUAGCUAGUUGGUAAGGUAACGGCUUACCAAGGCAACGAUGCAUAGCCGACCUGAGAGUGUGAUAGGCCUAACGGGAACGUCGAUACGGUACAAGCUCCGGAGUGGGGCUGGCGUAGGGAAUCUUCCGCAAUGGGAGAAAGCCUGACGGAGCAACGCAGCGUGGGUGAUGAAGGUCUUCGGUGCGUAAAACUCUGUUAUUAGUGAAGCGGUACCUAAUCAGAAAGCCACGGCUAACUACGUGCCAGCAGCCGCGGUAAUAC